rnacentral:rRNA from 1 species
AAGCCAUGCAUGUGUAAGUAUAAAUAAUUCUACUUUGAAACUGCGAAUGGCUCAUUAUAUCAGUUAUAGUUUAUUAGAAAAAAUGUACUACUUGGAUAACCGUAGUAAUUCUAGGGCUAAUACAUGAAUGAAUCCUCGACUUUGAAGAGGUGUGUUUAUUAGUAUGAAAACCAUAUGCUUCGGCAUGAUAGUGAGUAAUAAUAACCUUUCGUAUCGUAUGUUGAAAUAACGAUAGUUCUUUCAAGUUUCUGCCCUAUCAGCUUUCGAUGGUAGUGUAUUGGACUACCAUGGCAGUAACGGGUAACGAAGAAUUUGGGUUCGAUUUCGGAGAGGGAGCCUGAGAGAUGGCUACCACAUCCAAGGAAGGCAGCAGGCGCGUAAAUUACCCAAUCCUGACAGAGGGAGGUAGUGACAAUAAAUCACAAUGCGGGACUAUUUAGUUUUGCAAUUGGAUUGAGAACAAUGUACAAGAGUUAUCGAUAAACAAUUGGAGGGCAAGUCUGGUGCCAGCAGCCGCGGUAAUUCCAGCUCCAAUAGCGUAUAUUAACGUUGUUGCAGUUAAAA